GCGAAUACCGGAGAAUGUUAUCACGGGAGACACACGGCGGGUGCUAACGUCCGUCGUGAAGAGGGAAACAACCCAGACCGCCAGCUAAGGUCCCAAAGUCAUGGUUAAGUGGGAAACGAUGUGGGAAGGCCCAGACAGCCAGGAUGUUGGCUUAGAAGCAGCCAUCAUUUAAAGAAAGCGUAAUAGCUCACUGGUCGAGUCGGCCUGCGCGGAAGAUGUAACGGGGCUAAACCAUGCACCGAAGCUGCGGCAGCGACACUCAGGUGUUGUUGGGUAGGGGAGCGUUCUGUAAGCCUGCGAAGGUGGCCUGUGAGGGUUGCUGGAGGUAUCAGAAGUGCGAAUGCUGACAUAAGUAACGAUAAAGCGGGUGAAAAGCCCGCUCGCCGGAAGACCAAGGGUUCCUGUCCAACGUUAAUCGGGGCAGGGUGAGUCGACCCCUAAGGCGAGGCCGAAAGGCGUAGUCGAUGGGAAACGGGUUAAUAUUCCCGUACUUGGUGUUACUGCGAAGGGGGGACGGAGAAGGCUAUGUUGGCCGGGCGACGGUUGUCCCGGUUUAAGCGUGUAGGUGUGUGUUCCAGGUAAAUCCGGUUCACUUUAACACUGAGGCGUGACGACGAGGCACUACGGUGCUGAAGCAACAAAUGCCCUGCUUCCAGGAAAAGCCUCUAAGCAUCAGGUAACAUCAAAUCGUACCCCAAACCGACACAGGUGGUCAGGUAGAGAAUACCAAGGCGCUUGAGAGAACUCGGGUGAAGGAACUAGGCAAAAUGGUGCCGUAACUUCGGGAGAAGGCACGCUGACACGUAGGUGAAGUGAUUUACUCAUGGAGCUGAAGUCAGUCGAAGAUACCAGCUGGCUGCAACUGUUUAUUAAAAACACAGCACUGUGCAAACACGAAAGUGGACGUAUACGGUGUGACGCCUGCCCGGUGCCGGAAGGUUAAUUGAUGGGGU
rnacentral:rRNA from 1 species